AUGUGGCAGUGGAGGUAAAUGGUGAGAUGGCAGCAAUCCUCCAGAGAUCUCGUUUCUUUUCGGAUUUCAAAAUCCAGAUUUCAGAUAAACCAGAGUCCAGCUCAGCGUCAACAACACAGUACUGCCACCUCAACCCAUUCCUGCUGGCUGACAAACUGGGAUCCUCUGUGAAACAAUGCUCCAAAACAAGCAAAUAAAGAUGAGAAUCAGAAUACCUUUAUUAGUCCCUCCCAGAGGGGGGGGAACAAAUAGCCGUCCUUAUUUAAAUCAGUGAUAUGUAAGAGUAAUCAUUUGAUGUGUUAGUUGUCCUCUACUUUCUGUUGUGAUGACAUUGUUUAGUUGUUUGACGAGAUAACACUGUCAAAGUAAUAUUAUAAUAAUUAUGUGUCCAGAUACUAAAGAAAAACAUUUUGUAAUUGUUUAGUACUUUCCCUAUGAUUUAACCUAUUUGAAUAAAGUCAAAGUAAAUGUACACAAAAAAAAGUAAAAUAACAAUAAAAGCAUAAUGACAGUA